rnacentral:rRNA from 1 species
CUGCCUAUGAAUAAUUUAAAUGGCCGCAGUAUCUUGACUGUGCAAAGGUAGCAUAAUCAUUUGCCUCUUAAUUGGGGGCUAGUAUGAAGGAGGCGACGAAAUUUAGGCUAUUGGGUUGUAGUGUGAAAUUGACAUAAGAGUUAAAAGGCUCUUAUGAGCCAAAGGGACGAUAAGACCCUAUAAAACUUUACUAUAAGACAAACUAAAUAGAUAGGGUUUAAGUUUUAUAGUUUAGCUGGGGCGGCCUGUGUAAAAACAACUAUAGUAAAAAUAUAUUAAAUAAAAUUUAAGAUCUCUUGCGGGAAAUAAGCAAGUUACUUUAGGGAUAACAGCAUAAUCCUCCCAGAGAGUCCUAAUUGGCGGGAGGGCUUAUGACCUCGAUGUUGAAUUGGGGAGUCUAGUGUAAGUAGAAAUACACUAAGAGAGUCUGUUCGACUCUUAAAUCCUC